rnacentral:rRNA from 1 species
AGGAAUAUUGGUCAAUGGACGAGAGUCUGAACCAGCCAAGUAGCGUGAAGGAUGAAGGUUCUAUGGAUUGUAAACUUCUUUUAUACGGGAAUAAACGGAUCCACGCGUGGAUUUUUGCAUGUACCGUAUGAAUAAGGAUCGGCUAACUCCGUGCCAGCAGCCGCGGUAAUACGGAGGAUCCGAGCGUUAUCCGGAUUUAUUGGGUUUAAAGGGAGCGUAGAUGGGUUGUUAAGUCAGUUGUGAAAGUUUGCGGCUCAACCGUAAAAUUGCAAUUGAUACUGGCAGUCUUGAGUACAGUUGAGGUAGGCGGAAUUCGUGGUGUAGCGGUGAAAUGCUUAGAUAUCACGAAGAACUCCGAUUGCGAAGGCAGCUUACUAACCUGUAACUGACAUUGAUGCUCGAAAGUGUGGGUAUCAAACAGGAUUAGAUACCCUGGUAGUCCACACGGUAAACGAUGAAUACUCGCUGUAGGCGAUAUACGGUCUGCGGCCAAGCGAAAGCAUUAAGUAUUCCACCUGGGGAGUACGCCGGCAACGGUGAAACUCAAAGGAAUUGACGGGGGCCCGCACAAGCGGAGGAACAUGUGGUUUAAUUCGAUGAUACGCGAGGAACCUUACCCGGGCUUAAAUUGCAACCGAAUAUGGCGGAAACGCCAUAGCUAGCAAUAGCGGUUGUGAAGGUGCUGCAUGGUUGUCGUCAGCUCGUGCCGUGAGGUGUCGGCUUAAGUGCCAUAACGAGCGCAACCCUUGCCGAUAGUUACUAACAGGUCAUGCUGAGGACUCUGUCGGGACUGCCAUCGUAAGAUGUGAGGAAGGUGGGGAUGACGUCAAAUCAGCACGGCCCUUACGUCCGGGGCUACACACGUGUUACAAUGGGGGGUACAGAGGGCUGCUACCACGCAAGUGGAUGCCAAUCCCAAAAACCUCUCUCAGUUCGGAUUGAAGUCUGCAACCCGACUUCAUGAAGCUGGAUUCGCUAGUAAUCGCGCAUCAGCCACGGCGCGGUGAAUACGUUCCCG